UUUGACCUGCUCACUGAAUUUGUUUUAAAGAGCCGCGGUAUUUUGACCGUGCAAAGGUAGCAUAAUCAUUAGUUUCUUAAUUAGAGGCUGGAAUGAAUGGUUUGACGAGAAAUUAACUGUCUCUUAAUAAAUUUUAUAAUUUAACUUUUAAGUUAAAAGGCUUAAAUUUUUCUUUAGGACGAGAAGACCCUAUAGAGCUUUACAUUUUAAUUUAAUAUUUUUUUUAUUAUCUUUUUAUAUUAAUUGUUGAUGUUUUGUUGGGGUGACAUGAAGAAUAAAUAAACUCUUCAUUAUUAAAUCAUUAAUUUAUGUUUAAAUGAUCCAUAAUUUAUGAUCAUAAGAUUAAGUUACCUUAGGGAUAACAGCGUAAUUGUUUUUGAGAGCUCAUAUCGACGAAACAGAUUGCGACCUCGAUGUUGGAUUAAGAUUAAUUUUGGGUGCAGUAGCUCAAUAAUUAGG
rnacentral:rRNA from 1 species